rnacentral:rRNA from 1 species
UUUGUUCCCUAAAUAGGGACUUGUAUGAAUGGCCACACGAGGGCUUUACUGUCUCUUACUUCCAAUCCGUGAAAUUGACCUUCCCGUGAAGAGGCGGGAAUACAACAAUAAGACGAGAAGACCCUAUGGAGCUUUAAUUAACCGACCCAAAGAGACCCAUUAAUUUCAACCGACAGGAACAACAAACCUCUAUAUGGGCCGACAAUUUAGGUUGGGGUGACCUCGGAGAACAGAACAACCUCCGAGUGAUUUAAAUCAAGACUAACCAGUCGAAAGUAUUACAUCACUUAUUGAUCCAAAAGUUUGAUCAACGGAACAAGUUACCCUAGGGAUAACAGCGCAAUCCUAUUUCAGAGUCCAUAUCGACAAUAGGGUUUACGAC